GAUGAAGAACGUAGCGAAUUGCGAUAAGUAAUGUGAAUUGCAGAUUUUCAGUGAAUCAUCGAAUCUUUGAACGCACCUUGCGCCUUUUGGUAUUCCGAAAGGCACACCUGUUUGAGCGACAUGAAUACCUCAAUCUCCAUCUUUUCUUCGGAUUGAUGGGUGACUUGGAUGUUGAGCCCUGCUGGUAUGCUAUAUCAGCUGGCUUUAAACUUAUUAGCCGGCUCUGUACUGGAUCGGUUUGACUCGACGUGAUAAUAUUAUCGUUGAGGAUGCAUGUCUCAUGCAGCCGGAAAGUAUCAAAGCAGCUUCUAGCUUGCCUUUAGUGCACUUUUACAUUUUAGACCUCAGAUCAGGUGGGACUACCCGCUGAACUUAAGCAUAUCAAUAAGCGGAGGA
rnacentral:misc_RNA from 1 species